rnacentral:rRNA from 1 species
UCCAGACUCCUACGGGAGGCAGCAGUGGGGGAUAUUGCACAAUGGGGGGAACCCUGAUGCAGCGACGCCGCGUGGGUGAAGGAGCGUUUCGGCGCGUAAAGCCCUCUCGGCAGGGAAGAAGGAGGACGGUACCUGACUAAGAAGCCCCGGCUAACUACGUGCCAGCAGCCGCGGUAAUACGUAGGGGGCAAGCGUUAUCCGGAUUUACUGGGUGUAAAGGGGGCGCAGACGGCAGCGCAAGCCAGGAGUGAAAGCCCGGGGCCCAGCCCCGGGACUGCUCUUGGAACUGCGCGGCUGGAGUGCAGGAGGGGCAGGCGGAAUUCCUGGUGUAGCGGUGAAAUGCGUAGAUAUCAGGAGGAACACCGGUGGCGAAGGCGGCCUGCUGGACUGCGACUGACGUUGAGGCCCGAAAGCGUGGGGAGCAAACAGGAUUAGAUACCCCCGUAGUG